CUCCCCGCCUCUUCAAGAUCAAAUACUAUAAAUAUGAAAUACAUUCCAAAGGAAUUCCCAUUAUUUACACUUCCAGCACACUCUCAGUACUGCAUUUUCAUUCUCCGCUUAGUUUGCAUUUUCCUUCGAACCAAACAGCGACCGGUUUCGCAUCUCUCACGCUGCUAAUCGAGUGGUCAAGCAUCGGAACUACUAUAUUUGUUAAUGGCAGAAGCACAGAAGGAAACUUCUUCAUUGGUUAAUCUGAAAGAGAAGAAAUCUUCGUUGGAUGAUGGCAUUGGAAAGGAAUUCCUCAAUUCCUGGAAAUUGGUGUCAGCAACAGAAGAUGUCACAUUGGAUUUCAACCUUGAUUCAGUUCCCAGUGGCAAGGAAAAGAAAUUCAACUUCGGUAAAUUGGAUAUGGAUUUUAAUUUGGAAGCUGAUUUUGACAAAUUUUCAUCAUUCAAAGUGGUCAUGCCAGACCUUGAUUUUACAAGCUCGCCUAAAAAGACAGCCAAAGCCAAGGAAGGAUCUAAAGGGGAGUCGUCAAAGAGAAGCCAUCAAGGACAAAAAGAUUGCUUUGGUUUUUCUCUUGAUUUCAACGAGUUGGAAAAUUUUGACUUUGGUUCGAGCUUAAUAAAUGGGGAGAAAUCUUCUAAGAGAAGCCUAGAAAACAAGCAAGUGGCAGUAGAGAGAAAAGGGCUUCAAGGUUCGCUAAUCCAUUUGGAUGAGGGCAUUAUUGAUAAUAACUUGACCACCAAACUUCCAGCAUCAGAGAUUAUGGCCACUUCAAAUGUCGAGACUUUGAUAGGUGAACUUGGGGCUCAACAUUCUUUAAAUGAAACUUGUGCUUCAGAGUCUAGAGAUCUUGAAAAUUUGGUUGUGUUACAUGGAGUAAGAACUUCACAAGAUGAAUAUCUGACCAAACAUGCAGAAGAAAAAGAAGAGCAAAGUCAAUUGCCAGAUAAGGCAACACCCCUGGAGUCAAAUGCUGAGCAGACCUUGCAAAUUGCAUCUCCAAAUUUUGUUGGUCAGGAUGAAAGAGAUCAAAAUAUUGUUCCAGAUAUACAGACAGAGGCUUGUUCACAGGGUGUGAGAGAAAAUACCAGCUCAGUCGAACAUCAUAAUUUUAGUGACCAGUUGACACCAGCUAUUGGAUCAAAAAAUGAGAAAUCACAGUCAAAUUGUGCACUACCAUCGUAUAUUACUGGAUUAGAUGGUGAUAAAGAUGAAGCAAGAGAGUCCGGUAGUGAUAUUGCAAUGGAAAAGUUGGACAAGGCCAAAUCUGCCCUAGGUGAUAUUAAUCUUUGUGAUAAAUCCGUCAUGAAUAUUUUGAUGAAGCCGCCGGAUGACACCAAUUUUGAUCUCGAUGUCCAGACUUCAGCUGCUAAACUUCCACUGGUUGAUUUGGAAAGUGAACCUCUAGUUGAGAAAGUAAUUAUGGUAAAGGGGACUGAACCUGGACUUAAGCAGUCAAAGUACUUUAAGAAAUCAGACGUGAGUGGAUCUGAGCUACAGAGGCCCUCUUUGACUGCUGUGGAGGUCUACUCUCAUGGGAGCAGCAAACCUAUCGGUAGCACUCAUAUAAGUCCCACAAUUGAGACAGGGGAGGGCUUCCACGAUAAUGAUGUGCAAACUAGGAGAAAAUUGAUGGGCAUUUCAAAGUCAAUAACCAAAGAAAUAACAGAAGGCAAACCCAAUAUGGCUGGAAGUGACAAGAACAAUCGAAGCUCCAGCGAUAUUGGUUCAGGAGAAGAUGUGGUUGGUGUAAAUGGUGGCUGCAAGUUGGCUCAUCCAGCGCUUCACAAUGAAGAAGAAAGAAAAGGAGAAUCUGUUGCUGCAGAAAAGUUUGUCAAGGAUCAUAAGAGUCUUGGUUCUGAAGUCAGUGCUACCUGCUCAACUAAGAACAGAACUAAAUCUCAUACUCGGACAAUUAUAAAUCCUAAACUAGUGGUCACAAGUACCGCGGGAUCUAUUCAGAACUCAAAAAUUGUUUCAGUUGAAGGGAUUAAAGUUAGCAAGAGAACUCCUAGUCUUUCUAGCCUGAUGAUCUCAAGUGCUACUUGCUCAACUGAUAUGACAACUAAAUCCAAAACCGAGGCUAGCAUAAAUCCAAAACUUGUGGUUUCAAGUGCGGGAUUGGUUCAGAGCUCCAUCAUUUCAGAUGAAGGGUUUAAAACUGGCAAGAGGACUCCUGAUUUUUCUAAUAUUUCAAGGUAUAUGGGACCAAAGAGAGGCCAAUCUUAUUCCAGACAUGACAUGGAAGUGCAAGGAAAUGCAGCAUCCAGGAUCCCACAACCUCUUCCCAGCAGUGAGAAAAAAAUGCCUUUGAUACUGUCCUUAAAGAGGAAAAUGGUCGAGACAUCAGAUGCUGAAUUUGAGCCCCUCAAACCUCUUAAACGCCUCUCUAUCACCCCUACCUUAAGCAGAAAUAUUAAAGAGCCUGCAAAAAGUGUUGUUGACCAGAUUUCUGUUCUUGAGAAUCUGGAGGAAUCCAAGGUAAGUGACCACCCAACGUCCAGACUUGAGAAGCCUCCAUUGGAUAUGAUAGAGCAAGAAGUUUCUAUGGUUAUGGAAGAUGAUGGGAAUGUUGGGAAGGCUGAAAUAUAUACAAGAGAUCUUGAACAUAUCUGCAACAUGCUGAAGAAAAAACAUGAAGAAGCCAAAGAAAUAUUGGUUCGCGCUGUGGUGAACAACAACAAUCUUCUCAUGCUUAACCAUCCCCUCUAUGAAGACAAAAUUCGAUCGAUACAGAAAUUCGCUGCUCAAUUGAUGUCCAAGCAUCUUCAGAUGCUAAAAUUAUAAAAAUAAUAAUUCUUGUCAGGAGAUAUGUUCUCUUCCUGAUGCUGUUUGGAGUAAAGGGACCUGUAUCUCCAGAGUGAGGAGAGUCAUUUCUGAGCUUGAUCUAGAAAGGUAAGUCUUCCUUGCAAAUUAAUUGUUGAUACUAUUUCUUAUUAUUAGAUAAGAAUGAGAGUAUAGAGGAAUUUGGAAGGUGUUAUUAGUUGAAUUUUCUUACUUACUCGUUACUGCAUUCUGUACCAAAUUACCUGUCAUAGGCAGAUCAGACAUACAGAGGUCACUAAAUUAUUCAUUGUUAAUUGGGGAGCCCUCUCUACUUCAGGGGUUUGUUGGCACCUUACUGCCUGCAGUCAAGAUCCCCAAUACCUGUCUAUGAAAUUUUAACUGAGACUAAAUGGUCCUGCCCAGUGUCACCGACAGAACUUUUCGACUUGCCCUCCUCUUGAGGGAUUGAGAUCCCAUGCUAUUGAACCCCCUUACAAUUCUCCCUCUUCUUACUCAUUCCAGAGUUCAUAUCACAGAUAUCCUCUCACUCUCUCCUUGACCUCGUGAUUCAUCGUUCAUGCAGAGCAGCACUACAUAUCUCUCCUGUCACUCAUUGUUACACGAAGGACGACCAGUAACAAGGAAAAGUUGUCGAAAAUUCGAAAGGUUUACAUUUGCAUGGAUUGUCCAGACAAAGAUGGAAAAGAUUUCGACAGAAUCAUGGCCAUUGGAAGUCACGAAUAGCCAAAAUAAUGUGCGUAGAUUUCGUGACCCACGCAAAAUAAAGAGGGUCUGUUUUGUAGCUAGCCUUUUAAGGAGGCAAAAGAGCAGGACCUGACUAGACAAACACAUACUGCAUUAAUGGCCGCCCCAUACUACUUGACAAAUUUCGUGCACGAUUAUUAAACCCAUCACUCCAUAAAAUAAGUUAAAUAAUUUCCCUAUAAUAAGUCAAAAUUCAAAUUGGACUUCGGCCUAUAUAUUGCCUGAGGUAACCUGGGGGAAAAGAGUCAAAAGACGGCUUGCUUGAGCUCUAGGGUGUGCCGCCUAGUCUUGGUUUUUCAAUCAAAUGUGAUGACAAGCCAUUCACGCCCUCUCAAUCCACUCAUUGAGGCUCACAAUGUAACAAAAUCAUACCUAGUGUCUUAAGUCAGACCAGGAGCCAAACAAAUUAUCGUUGAAGGUGAGGAGGCCCUAAACAGGGGCCAGAAUGUGCCUAAUCGACUUUGUCCAUGUAGACCUGAUCCGCAUCAUCAUUAAGGAAUGGUGGAGGCUGGAGCCACGGCGACCACAAAAGUCCAUGCACGCACUUUAUAAAGGGUGUGGUUGGGCAUUAUCAAGAAGAAUAAUUAUCCUUCUACUGCUAUAUAUGGUUGGAUAAUAUAAAAUAAUUAGCAAUUAUUAUGCCUAUUAUCAUCCUAGUUGGUGUUGUUGCUAUACAAAUAAGUUUUAAAUUGUGCAAUUUAUUUGUUUGUUUGUUUUUUUCUUUUGGGGAAGGCAUUUAUUUGUUGAUGAUGGGGCUUUUACCAUUGACUUUUUGUUUGAGCACUCAUAAUAAUUAG